UACAGAGGUCUCAAGCGUUGUUCGGAUUCAUUGGGCGUAAAGGGUGCGUAGGCGGCGCGGUAAGUCGGGUGUGAAAUCUUGGAGCUUAACUCCGAAACUGCAUUCGAUACUGCCGUGCUUGAGGACUGGAGAGGAGACUGGAAUUUACGGUGUAGCGGUGAAAUGCGUAGAUAUCGUAAGGAAAACCAGUGGCGAAGGCGGGUCAUCU
rnacentral:rRNA from 1 species